rnacentral:rRNA from 1 species
CAGUAGCCGCGGUAAUACGAGGGGGGCAAGCGUUGUUCGGAAUUAUUGGGCGUAAAGGGUGCGUAGGCGGUUUGGCAAGUUUGGUGUGAAAUCUUCGGGCUCAACUCGAAGUCUGCAUCGAAAACUGCCGGGCUUGAGUAUGGGAGAGGUGAGUGGAAUUUCCGGUGUAGCGGUGAAAUGCGUAGAUAUCGGAAGGAACACCUGUGGCGAAAGCGGCUCACUGGACCAUAACUGACGCUGAUGCACGAAAGCUAGGGGAGUAAACAGGAUUAGAUACCCCCGUAGUCCCUGUCUCUUAUAC